GACAUUGAUGUGGAGAGGAAGGUGAUAGAAGACAAACUUAAGGAACUUGAAGCUCAACAAUUGACAUCAAAGGAAGUGACGAUAGCCAUGAAAGACCUUGGCAUUCAAAGAAAAGGAGGAGAAGGAGAGAGAUUGAGUACGGGGAAGUAUCAAAGAAAUUGACUCCGAGGCGAAAGGCUUCACGGACGGCGGCAAAUGCGUCUUGUUCGGAGACAUCCCCGAAGACUUUGCCAAGAGGAUAACAUGUAAAGAUUCCUUUUCACGUACCUUUUCAAUUUUUGUAGAUGUGUUAGGGGGCUGACCAGCCGGAAUUAAUGGCUGGCCGCCGGCCGGCGAAGCCAUAGGACUGUUUCUCUCUCUAGAUCGCCCAAAUCGCCUGUUUGUAUUCAGUUGUAUUCGAAUGUAUUCUUCAGCUGUAUUCACUUGUAUUCAGGUUUAAUCAGUUGUAUUAAACUAUUUUAUUCAGCAAUAGUUAGUUGUAUUCAA